rnacentral:rRNA from 1 species
AUGAAGAGCAGAGGUGCGGGGACAUUUUCGUGUGGCUUGGCCAGGAACUUGUGGACGGCGUCCAGCUGCCAGAGGCUGGCCGGCAAAGUCGCCGUGAUCACCGGCGCGGCCAGCGGCAUCGGCAAGGCGACGGCCGUCGAGUUCAUCCGGAACGGCGCCAAGGUCAUCCUCGCGGACAUCCAGGACGACGCGGGCCGCUCCGUGGCGGCCGAGCUCGGCCCGGGCGCGGAGUACACCCGCUGCGACGUGACCGACGAGGCGCAGAUCGCCGCGGCGGUGGACCUCGCCGUGGCGCGCCACGGCCAGCUCGACGUCCUCUACAGCAACGCCGGCGUCUCCGGGUCCUCGGCGCCGGCGCCCCUGGCGGCCCUCGACCUCGCGGACUUCGACCGCGUGAUGGCGGCCAACGCGCGCUCCCUGGUGGCCGCCGUCAAGCACGCCGCGCGCGUCAUGGUGCCGCGCCGCAGCGGCUGCGUCCUCUGCACGGGGAGCACCACGGGGAUGAUGGGCGGUGUCGCCGCGCUCCCGUACAGCCUCUCGAAGGCGACGGUGGUGAGCGUGGUGCGGCUGGUGGCGGCGGAGCUGGCGCGCGACGGCGUGCGCGUCAACGCCAUCUCGCCGCACGCCAUCGCGACGCCGCUGCUGGUCCGGUCGCUGGCGAGGGCGUACCCGGGCGUUGGCGACGACGCGCUGAAGCGGAUGGUGGAGAGGGGCAUGAGCGAGCUCCAUGGGGCGGUGCUGGAGCCGGAGGACGUGGCGAGGGCUGCCGUCUACCUGGCGUCCGACGAGGCCAAGUAUGUCACUGGCCAUAACCUAGUGGUGGACGGCGGUUUCACGGUCGGGAAGCCGAUCAAUGUGCACCCGGCAAGCUGA